UUCUUUGAUGUGCAUGUGAGCUUUUGCUUUGAACGCUUUAAAAAGGGUUUUAUUGUUGCAGCACUUAACAUUAGAUUAUUUAUUUGGGUAAGAUCUAGCUUUAGAAAAUUGUUCUGACUAAAUUUGUGCCAGCAGUUGCGGUUACACAAAUAGGGCUUUCAAAUCUAGUUGGAUUUAUAGUUAAUUGUAUUUAGCUUUAAUGUAGUUGGACCUAUUUUGGUGAAAUAUUUAGGUUUAUGAUCAUAUUUAGAAAUGUUUUGAGGCUAUUAAAUUCUUGCUUUAGACUAGGAUUAGAUACCCUAUUAUUUUGAAUGUAAAUUUGAUUUCCAGGUUAGUAGUAGUUAUUUUCUUGAAAACUAAAGAAUUUGGCGGUAUUUUAGUCUUUUCAGAGGAACCUGUCCCGUGAUUGAUAGUCCACGAUUGAUUCUACUCCUUUAAAUUAGUUUGUAUAUCGUCGUAGUUGAGUAUUUUAUUAGGAGGGUAAUGCUCGUAAUAUUUAAUUUAGAUAAAAAAUCAGAUCAAGAUACAGUUUAUAAGGGAGAGGAGAUGGGUUACAAUAAAUAGAUUUAUUACAGAUUGAAAAAGGAAGUUUUUCAUGAAGGUGGAUUUGAAAGUAAAUUUUUUUACUUAAUUAAAUUGAUUAAGCUCUAAGAUAUGCACAUAUCGCCCGUCGCUUUCAUUUAAGGUGAAAUAAGUCGUAACAGAGUAGGUGUACUGGAAAGUGCACCUAGAACGU
rnacentral:ncRNA from 1 species